rnacentral:misc_RNA from 1 species
UUCUUUUGUCAAAUAUUAAGGGAUUACAACAAUUCGUUUAUUCUCGAGCUUGAAAGUUGCAAAAAUUCAAUGAGAGAAUAUAUUCAUCGACUUACAACAUCACUAAUUGUCAACUCAUUCACUGAACAUAAUUCUUCUUUUGCUGUUAAUGAGCUAGAAUUAUUAUGAGACUUUCUAAAAAAGAAUGCAGGUUGUUUAGGAGAAGGAAGAGUAAUUUCACUAUUCAACAUU